UUCUAUGGCCAUACCACUCCAAACACGUUCGAGCGUGUCUGAUCUCAGAAGCUAAGCAGGGUCGGGCCGGUUAGAUGGGGGAUUUUCAGGUUAUCUUUCAUGUGUUGUGAUUU
rnacentral:rRNA from 1 species